GAGUUUGAUCAUGGCUCAGAUUGAACGCUGGCGGCAGGCUUAACACAUGCAAGUCGAGCGGAAACGAUGGUAGCUUGCUACCAGGCGUCGAGCGGCGGACGGGUGAGUAAUACUUAGCGAAUCUACCUAGUAUUGAGGGAUAGCACGGGGAAACUCGUAUUAAUACCGCAUACGUCCUACGGGAGAAAGGGGGCAACUUGUUGCUCUCGCUAUUAGAUGAGCCUAAGUCGGAUUAGCUAGAUGGUGGGGGAAAGGCCUACCAUGGCGACGAUCUGUAGCUGGUCUGAGAGGAUGAUCAGCCACACCGGGACUGAGACACGGCCCGGACUCCUACGGGAGGCAGCAGUGGGGAAUAUUGGACAAUGGGGGAAACCCUGAUCCAGCCAUGCCGCGUGUGUGAAGAAGGCCUUUUGGUUGUAAAGCACUUUAAGCAGUGAAGAAUACUCUUCGGUUAGUACCCGGAGACGAUGACAUUAGCUGCAGAAUAAGCACCGGCUAACUCUGUGCCAGCAGCCGCGGUAAUACAGAGGGUGCAAGCGUUAAUCGGAAUUACUGGGCGUAAAGCGAGCGUAGGUGGCUUGAUAAGUCAGAUGUGAAAUCCCCGGGCUUAACCUGGGAACUGCAUCUGAAACUGUUAGGCUAGAGUAGGUGAGAGGGAAGUAGAAUUUCAGGUGUAGCGGUGAAAUGCGUAGAGAUCUGAAGGAAUACCGAUGGCGAAGGCAGCUUCCUGGCAUCAUACUGACACUGAGGCUCGAAAGCGUGGGUAGCAAACAGGAUUAGAUACCCUGGUAGUCCACGCCGUAAACGAUGUCUACUAGUCGUUGGGUCCCUUGAGGACUUAGUGACGCAGCUAACGCAAUAAGUAGACCGCCUGGGGAGUACGGCCGCAAGGUUAAAACUCAAAUGAAUUGACGGGGGCCCGCACAAGCGGUGGAGCAUGUGGUUUAAUUCGAUGCAACGCGAAGAACCUUACCUGGUCUUGACAUACACAGAAUCUUGUAGAGAUACGAGAGUGCCUUCGGGAAUUGUGAUACAGGUGCUGCAUGGCUGUCGUCAGCUCGUGUCGUGAGAUGUUGGGUUAAGUCCCGCAACGAGCGCAACCCUUGUCCUUAGUUACCAGCGGGUUAAGCCGGGAACUCUAAGGAUACUGCCAGUGACAAACUGGAGGAAGGCGGGGACGACGUCAAGUCAUCAUGGCCCUUACGACCAGGGCUACACACGUGCUACAAUGGUAGGUACAGAGGGCAGCUACACAGCGAUGUGAUGCGAAUCUCAAAAAGCCUAUCGUAGUCCAGAUUGGAGUCUGCAACUCGACUCCAUGAAGUAGGAAUCGCUAGUAAUC
rnacentral:rRNA from 1 species